rnacentral:rRNA from 1 species
UACGGAGGAUCCAAGCGUUAUCCGGAUUUAUUGGGUUUAAAGGGUGCGUAGGCGGCUUUUUAAGUCAGGGGUGAAAGACGGUGGCUCAACCAUCGCAGUGCCUUUGAUACUGAAGAGCUUGAUUAGACUUGAGGUAGGCGGAAUGUGACAAGUAGCGGUGAAAUGCAUAGAUAUGUCACAGAACACCGAUUGCGAAGGCAGCUUACUAAGGUUUGAAUGACGCUGAGGCACGAAAGCGUGGGGAUCAAACAGG